UUAAUACUCCCUCCGUCCCAUAUUAAGUUUCGAAAUAUUACAUGUAUCUAGACGUAUUUUAGUAUAUAGAUACGUCCAUUUUUAGACAAAUUUGAGUCACUUAAUAUGGGACGGAGGGAGUAUUUA
rfam:Brachypodium distachyon strain Bd21 chromosome 1, whole genome shotgun sequence.